rnacentral:rRNA from 1 species
GGUGGUGCAUGGUUGUCGUCAGCUCGUGUCGUGAGAUGUUGGGUUAAGUCCCGCAACGAGCGCAACCCUUAAGCUUAGUUGCCAGCAUUCAGUUGGGCACUCUAAGGUGACUGCCGGUGACAAACCGGAGGAAGGUGGGGAUGACGUCAAAUCAUCAUGCCCCUUAUGACCUGGGCUACACACGUGCUACAAUGGACGGUACAAACGGUUGCCAACCCGCGAGGGGGAGCUAAUCCGAUAAAACCGUUCUCAGUUCGGAUUGUAGGCUGCAACUCGCCUACAUGAAGCCGGAAUCGCUAGUAAUCGUGGAUCAGCAUGCCACGGUGAAUACGUUCCCGGGUCUUGUACACACC